rnacentral:lncRNA from 1 species
UAUAUGUCAAGGAGUCAGUGGGAGUCUUAAUGGUCUUGAAAGGUUUCAAGAACAAAUCAAAUAAACCUUAUCGAUCAUCACUAGCACACGAGUUGAGGUUUAUAACCUAUUGUGUUGACAUUAUUUUGUUUCUGUGCCAUCCCACUUGAGUUAAUUAUACAUGUGAGUUCUAUGAGUUCUCAUUUUGAAUGCAUAAAAGGCAAGGACCUUGAUCAAUGGAAAGUACAUUGAUAAGAAAAGGUGAGCUGCUUAACUACUUGGAAGACAUAGUGGGCAGCUGUGCUACCAUAANAAAGGUACAAAGUGUGUUCUUAAAAUUUCGAUUAUGAUUACGGCAUCCCUCUUCACAAUUCGAAUUUUGAGAACAUAGCAAAUAAAACAUUAUGCGUCGUGUCCCAUACGCUUCGGGUAUAGGAUCGAUUGCAAAUGCUUUAAUGUUUGACCAUUCUAAAAUUUUCCAAAUGUCGAGCGCAUUUAGAGGGAAAAGGGACUAGAAUUGGUUUUGACUAAAACAAUUAAACAACUAUCAAAGGACAACCCAAAGUUCGACGAGGAUUGGUCGCUUGUGAGUAGUUGGAAGUAUAGUAUUGGAAAAUAUGGAAAUGUUUCCAUAUUGGAUGGACCAUAUCGACUCUAUUAUGAAUAGAAAAGAUUCUAUUAAGAAUGAGUUGUCAUAUGGAACAUAUGGAAGUGUGUCCAUAUUGGGAAUUGAAUAUUGAGAAAUCUAUGACUAGAUUAGAAACUUCUAUGCAAAAGGAUGUUCAAAGGAAUGUACUUUGAGUGAGAGACAUCACGACUAUGGAAUUGUCUUGUAACAAUCUCCGAUAGAGGACUUUGUAAUAUCAUUGGCAAUAGUCUUUGUGACUUUUGUGCAGUGACAUUACGAAAGGACAAUUACAUAAAAUGUUAGAAUCUAGCAUAUUUUAUAAGUAGCAAGAAUUUGAUAUUCUUUCACUUAUGAAAAAGGAUUUGGAGUUGUGAAAUGAGAAUGAUUGGAAAUGUGCUCAAUUAUGUCCAUUUCACAAAGUAAGAACCAUACGUAAACAUUGUGUGCAUGCUACGAGCAUGGGACAAGUAUAAUAAUUCAAGAAAGAAGUUGAUUACCCGAAACGACAAAUAAUGAGUAAUCAAUAUGGUGAUAAAUAAAAGGCAUUUUAUUUAUACUCAAAGGUUGAUACCAUAUGGGAUUAGUAUUAUUCUUGUGUUUCACAUUUGAAUGUUUUGACUUCCAGAAUAAUUGAGUUUAUUAAGAAUAAUCGAAUUAUUCGAACGGGCCACAGUCGUUCAUAUGUUGGAAGUAGGUAUGAAUGAAGACUAUCAUGAAUUGGUGUGUGGAUUGUCUAAAAGAGUAUUAGACAUAAGCAAAUGUUUGCUGCAACGUUCGUGAGUGCUUAUGAAUAUGAUUUGAGCAUUGGAUUAAACCCACGCUCACUUGGAUCACUCCAUGAAUUGUAUCACGAGUGAUUGGUGAGACGAUAACAUCUUAUAUUCUUGAAACCGAGAUGUGUGAGUUGUAUCUUGCAAAUCGGUUGCACAUUGAUAAUAUGUAAACGCACUAGUAACUUGGUGUUAUAAAACAUAUUGUUGUGUGUAAUUCGGUAAGUGAGUGCAAGCAAGCAUUGUAUCAAAGUUUAUCCGUUCCUUUUAUCCAAAGUAGGAUAAAAGCGAUAUCUUUGGGCCCCUCGAUGAUUUAGUGAUGACAAACGUAAAUGCUCGGCCGGGCUAGGGCUAAUUUGAUUUGUUCAAUUAGUCAGUCGUCAUAAAUUGGGAAUCGAGAUAUAGUACAAAGAGAAUGAUUUGAAAUCAUAUCUCAUAUGAUAUCUAGAAUGGAGGAAUAUAUGAUCCCUUAUCUAAGGACACGCGUAUCUGAUAUGAUCAGAGUUGACAGCGGCUUUGGAAAGCUACGAUUGCAGAUCAGGAUCUGAAGUCAUACGCAGAAUAGUUAUUAGACUUAUCCAAGUGGGAGACUGUUGGAUUAGUGUCUAAGUCCAUAACUAUUUUGGUAUGUACUUGACCCGAUGGUGCAUGGUCCUUUUGGGUUGCCUUCACCAAAGCAACUUGAUUGGAGAAAUAAAUAGAGAGAGAGGUUAUUAUGAUUUAUUAAUAUGUUAUAAGAAUAAUAUAUUAAAGGAGAAAUCAUAUUUGUUUAAUUAAUAUUGGUCAAUAAUUAAUUAAGAAUUAAUUUUGUGAUCAAAUGUAAUUAAUUAAACUAGAGGGGCUGAAUUGUAAUUAUGUGAUAGUUACAAAAUAGGGUAAGGAUUAUCCUAAGGAUAGGUUGAACGAAUUUAAGGUGAUAAGACCUUAGAAUUCGUCCAUGAUAAGGAUUCAAGGCUUAUCUUAUGGGUUGCUUGGUGGGCAAGCAACUAGAUAAGGAUAAGGACUAAAACCCUAUCUCUACACCUAUAUAAACACCCUUUUGGCUCAUAAUUUGUCCAGACCUUCCCAAAGCAUCUUAGGGACGAAUUCUUAUACCUCUCCUCUCUCUUUAUACCUUCUCCAUUUGCUCUUGGUGUUUGUAAGCCAUUAGAGGAGUGACACUUGUGACUCUAAGCCUUCCAAAGUCAAUACAAGGAGAUUUGGGAUUGUUAUUGCUACAUAACAAUCAAGGUAAUAUUAUAAACCUAUUCUUAUGUUAAUAUGAUUACUUAUAUGCUAGAAUUAGGGUUUUGUUAUGUGUUCAUAAUGUUGUGUAUCUAAUAGUGAAAACAUAGAUCCAAUGCUAGGGUUGCAUGUACACAUAGGAUUGUUUGUAUAAAACCCAUCAAGAAUCCCCAAACCCUUAACUACCUUGACACAGAAAGACUUAAACAUGAGGCAGCGGCGAUGGGUAGAGAUGCUCAAUGUUUAUGAGUGUGAAAUCCGCUACCAUCCCGGCAAGGCCAAUGUGGUGGAAGAUGCCUUGAGCCGAAAGGAGAGUUCAAGCUGCAAGGCAAAGACAUUGUCGAUGACUAUCCUGUUGGAUUAGUGUCUAAGUCCAUAACUAUUUUCGUAUGUACUUGACCCGAUGGUGCAUGGUCCUUUUGGGUUGCCUUCACCAAAGCAACUUGAUUGGAGAAAUAAAUAAAGAGAGAGAGGUUAUUAUGAUUUAUUAAUAUGUUAUAAGAGUAAUAUAUUAAAGGAGAAAUCAUAUUUGUUUAAUUAAUAUUGGUCAAUAAUUAAUUAAGAAUUAAUUUUGUGAUCAAGUGUAAUUAAUUAAACUAGAGGGGCUGAAUUGUAAUUAUGUGAUAGUUACAAAAUAAGGUAAGGAUUAUCUUAUAUAUAUGGUGAACGAAUUUGAGGUGUAAAUCCCUUAGAAUUCGAGUAUGAUAAGGAUUCAAGGAUUAUCUUAUUGGUUGCUUGGUGGAUAAGCAACUAGAUAAGGAUAAUGACUGAAACCCUAUCUCUACACCUAUAUAAACACCCCUAGGGUCAUGAAUUCGUGUAUCCCUUCCCAAGAAGUCUUAGAGACGAAUUCUAACCUCCCUCCUCUCUCUUUAUACCUUCUCCACUUGCUUAUGGUGUUUGUAAGCCAUUAGAGGAGUGACACUUGUGACUCUCAGCUUUCCAAGGUCAAUUCAAGGAGGAAUUGGAUUGUUAUUGCUAUAUAACAAUCAAGGUAUGUUCUUAAACCUAAUUACAUGUGAAUUCUGAUUUCCAUAUGCUAGAAUUAGGGUUUAUAGUCUUGGAUUCAAAGUAUGUACAAUAGAGAAACCUAGAUCCAAGCUUUAGGGUUUGUAUGAGCACAUAGGAUGUCUUAUGACCAAAACCCAUCAGUGGUAUCAGAGCCAUGAUUGGUUUCUAUUGUAUUGAUGCUUGAUGUAACUGAAAAUCGUGUUUUGGCCUCACUGUUCGACCUGACUCGGCGAGUCACUCUUGGACUCGGCGAGUCAGCCCUACUCGGCGAGUUCCAGAGGGUGACUCGGCGAGUCGGUGCGUCAGACAGUGCUUAUCUCGGGAUUUCUUGCUGUUUUUGCAUUGGGAUAAUUACCUUAUCAUGUUAGAUUAAUAUUAAUCCGAUUAUAUGAUAUAUUUGACUAUAUUUUUAAUCUAAUUGAAGAUAUUUAUCAAUUAAUAAGAUAAUUGUUUCCUUAUAAGAUAAUUGAUUAAUUAUUUUAAGUAAAUUGAUAAAUUAUUUUGCAAGAAAUCAUCAAAUAUGGAUAAUUAUGUGAUUAAAUGUUAAUUUGAAUUAUUUGUUAUUUGAUCCUUGUUGUUGUGAAAAGUUUCAUAUUUGGCCCUUUAGGUUUUAUAGUUUAAAUUUGAACCCCAAAAGUUUUGUUGUUUUGAAAUUUAAAUAGUUGAAACCCUAAUGUUUUGAAAAAGGUUUCAAAACUUGCCCUCAAGUUUUGGAAUUUAAAUUUUGAUUAAAUAGUUUAAUUUUGAUGCAUAUUUAAAUUCUAAACCCUAAUGUGUUGAAAUGUUUCAAAACUUGCCCUCAAGUUUUGGAAUUUAAAAGUUGAUUAAAAGUUUAAUUAGGAAUGUUAAAUUCUAAAACUCUAGUAUAGUUUUGAAAAAGUUCAAAUCACACCCUUAUGGUUUUAUUAAUUAAUUAAGGUGUAUAAUUAAAAGAGGUUUAAUAAAUCCAUAAAAGUUUAGGUUUACAAUUUAAUUGAAUUAAAAGUAUAAUUGUUAAAUUAGACCACCUAGUAUUUUAAAAGUAUAAAAUACACCCUAUACUAUAUAUAACAUUAAAAGUCUAACAUUAUAUAUAUGUAUGAGUAAAAGUCAGUCUUACCGUUAGUAGGCCUCAUUCACGAAGCUGGUCUAUAAGGGGUGUUUAAGGAAAUUGCCUAUAAAAUGGCGAUUGAAUGGGUAUCCACUCUUACCCACCGCACUCUUGACUAGUGGAGGGUCGUUAGCCGAACGGGUAGGAUAGGACGAAACCUUCCAUUAUAAGUAUAAUGAAUUAUUAAAGUAACUAAAUGUUUUCAUAAAAUUCCCAAUCUUAGUUACUUAGGCAAAAGUGAAUUGAUGCAAUUCCAUGAAAUUACACUUUGUGCCCUUGCGAAGACGUUAGUGGAGCGUGUGUGGUUAACCGGCACACUAAAUGGUUCUAAGCAAAGGUAGCAAAGGGUGACUCAAUGUUUGUCAUAGUUCGGUGGAGCGUGUGUGGUUUACCGGCACAUCGAAUAGGUGACUGUAACAUGUGAGGGCACCAUGUAAGUUUGCAUGGUUAUUCACACCCGCUUUGUGAUCCUCGGCAUCCCAGUCACAAACAAGAGGGGCAUAUCGAGAUUUAAACAUGCCAUUGAAAGUUCAAUGAAUCUCAAAGGAUCUAGGAGUUUUCAUAGAUUUAAAACUUAAAUUUCUUUUUCGUUUUUCAUGGUGGAAAUUAGUGAAUCGUCAUUCACUUACCUUCAAAUAUUCUGCAAUUAGGGUUACGGCAUCCCUCUCCCGAGUUGUAGAAUAUUGUGUUGGGUCCUAGCCUUAGUAUCUCAUUUGGGUGAUUUACUAAGGACUCAAUCAAUCAACUAACUUGAAUUCGUUUUCUCCCGUUUUGUAGAUGUCAAAGUUCGACAACUAUGGUCUUCCCAAAUCCCGUGGAACAAGCAUUCCACAUGAAGAUGAUAUUCCACGAUUCGAUCGAGGAACAAGAAAUCAUGCUUCACUUCCUCCUCCUCCUCCAAUUAUUCUCCCUAACCCACAAGUUCAAAGGCUUGAAAAGUUCAAGAUCACUCAAGCCCUUUUGGCAAGUAAACAUAAAGAAGGAAAGUCGGUGUGUGCACACGUCCUAGGGAUGAAGUCACACAUUGAUAGGUUAAGAAUGUUGGGAUCCGUUGUCUGUGAGGAAAUGGCUGUUGAUUGGGUUCUUCAGUCACUUCCUAACUCAUAUAGUGAGUUCGUAAGAGAGUACUAUAUGAUGAACCGCGACGUGACCCUUAUAGAUCUCACCUAUAUGCUUAUUGCUGCUGAAUCAGCAAUGGUUUGGCGCAAUAGAAAAGCAAAGUUGAUUGGUGAAUCUGCCUUCAAGACCUCUAUGGAUAUAGACAAUGGCAACGAAAGACAUGCUAUGAUCGAAAAGUUUGAUCAUAAGAGAAAGGCAAUGUCUGAAGUAGUUCCAUGUCAUGUUCCAAAAGAGUCAAUUUGCUUUUAUUGCCAAGAGAAAGGGCAUUGGAGACGAAGCUGCCCCAUUUACCUAAGAGAUCUAAGAGAUGGGAGAGUCGAAACGUAUGGCUCUAAUAUAGGUAAAAUCCAUUAACUAACUCUUUUAAGCUUCUAUUCUAGAUUCUUAAUACAUAAUGUGAUAAGAUUACAAUUGAUGUUUUGUAGGAUCGAAGAAAAGAAAGGAAGCUUAAGGGAAGAAGUGAGCAGAAUCUAACCGUGAAGGAAUGGAUUUCGAUCGCAUUUCUCGAAGAUUAGAUUCUUGAGCUACUACUUAGAGUUAGAAUUAGAUUGCUAAGAAAGAUGUAUUAGCAUAGUUUUUCAAUGAAUUGCAUUGUAAGGACAAAUUUUUUCCGCAAUAAAAUAAAUUUUGAUUUUAUAUUAUUUAUUUAUCCUUGCAAUGGCGUAUAUGAAAAAUUGAUGUUUGAAUGUUUCUAUUAUUAGCAAUAAUGGAUUUGGUUCUUAUUAUGUUAUUUAUGGAAAGUCGAGAGUUUACCAAAUAGGGAGAGUUUCUCAUCGCCCAAGUUUCAAUUGGACAGAAACUUGGAAUCAUGCAACUUGGUUGCACGAUGAAUGAGAAAUUUCAUAUUUGGAAAUUAGACUAAUUCAUUGACAAAGUGUCAAGUGAAGGACUAGGAGAUCGAGUACACAAAGUUGCGUGUUGAUCAAGUCCACCAUAAGAGUAACAAAGAUAUUCGUCAUGAUUUACUAAAGGUUUAGUAAAUAUGAUUAUACUUAUAAGAUUAAGUGUAAUUCUGAAUUGAUUGAAAAAGUUUAAAUCAAUAGCAGAACGAAUAAGAAGAAUCAAGUAGGCAGAAAGAUAAAAGUUUCUCCAUUCUAAGAAGAAGGGAGAGUACCUUUUAUGCUUUAUGAUAGGUCUUAAUGAUUAAGAACCAUAUCUCAAUUGAUCCUCUAAGUGAGUCUUAGUACAAUUGUAUGUCUAAGAAGAGGAAUCAAGAAUUGAAGAAAUGGUUAAAUCAAGAAGUCAAUCAUACUUCGUUCCAAAACAAGUCUUAGAGUUAAGAUUGUGACAUUGAGUGAUAAGUAUUAAGAAGGUUUAUAACAUUCAUCAAAUGUGGAAAGUUGUGAUGUCUUGGAUAAGACAAAGACCAACUAGGACCAAUUUAUGAAGUGUUUUGAUAAAAACUACACUAACUCUUGAAUAUUUGUUUGUCAAGAAAUGUUUAUUGACAAGAGAAUCUUAUAUGUCAAGGAGUCAGUGGGAGUCUUAAUGGUCUUGAAAGGUUUCAAGAACAAAUCAAAUAAACCUUAUCGAUCAUCACUAGCACACGAGUUGAGGUUUACAACCUAUCGUGUUGACAUUAUUUUGUUUCUGUGCCAAUCCAAUCGAGUUAAUUAUGCAUGUGAGUUCUAUGAGUUCUCAUUUUGAACGCAUAAAAGGCAAAGCACCUUAAUCAAUGAAAGGUACAUUGAUAGGAAAGGGUGAGCUGCUUAACUACUUGGAAGACAUGGUGGGCAGCUGUGCUACCAUAAGGCAAGAAAUCAAGAUUAAGAAAGUUCGGUCCAUAUGAGUUUGAAUUUGUCGUAAACUUUGGUUUUAACAAAUUCACAUGGAUAGGAACACAUACACCGUUUAAAUCUAAGUGUCAUAAGAUUUCCUCCUUCAUGAAAAUGAUUGUGAGGAAAUGCUUUCACUAAGAAAGAUUUUAAGAAGAUAGUGAUUGUAAAAUUGCAUUCUCGAAUUCGAUUAUGGUUACGGUAUCCCUUUCCAUAAUUUGAAUUGUGAGGUUUGGCAAUUAGUCUUAAUUGUUUAGACACACAUAUGAACUAUCGAAGGCAAAGGUGUAUAAGUUCAAGAAGCCUUGAUAAAAGAUUAUCAAAGCACUAAGUAUUAGAAACAUGAACUUAAGAAAUUCAAUAAGUAUUGUUUUUCUGAAAGUUAAGAUGUUUAUGAAUACAUGUCGAAGCUAGUGGGAGCAUAAGUGUUAUGUUUUAUAAUAAUCAUCAUGAUAGUGGGAGCAUAAAUGUUAUGAUUGUAUGAUUAUUAAGGAAAGUAUUGCAAGUUGGCAAUAUUAAUUAUAGAAAACAAGAGUCAUACUUUGCAAAGUUGUAAGGGUUGAAAGGUUGUUUUGCUAUAAUUAAGGGAGAGAAUAUUAUGCUUCAUUUCAAAUCUAAAGGAUUAGGUUGAGAAAUGUUAAUAAAUUUAGUCAAAGGUACAUAGUGUGUUCUUAAAAUUUCGAUUAUGAUUACGGCAUCCCUCUUCACAAUUCGAAUUUUGAGAACAUAGCAAAUAAAACAUUAUGCGUCGUGUCCCAUACGCUUCGGGUAUAGGAUCGAUUGCAAAUGCUUUAAUGUUUGACCAUUCUAAAAUUUUCCAAAUGUCGAGCGCAUUUAGAGGGAAAAGGGACUAGAAUUGGUUUUGACUAAAAUAAUUAAACAACUAUCAAAGGACAAUCCAAGUUCGACGAGGAUUGGUCGCUUGUGAGUAGUUGGAAGUAUAGUAUUGGAAAAUAUGGAAAUGUUUCCAUAUUGGAUGGACCAUAUCGACAUCAUUACGAAUAGAUAAGAUUCUAUUAAGAAUGAGUUGUCAUAUGGAACAUAUGGAAGUGUGUCCAUAUUGGGAAUUGAAUAUUGAGAAAUCUAUGACUAGAUUAGAAACUUCUAUGCAAAAGGAUGUUCAAAGAAUGUACUUUGAGUGAGAGACAUCACGUCUAUGGAAUUGUCUUGUAACAAUCUCCGAUAGAGGACUUUGUAAUAUCAUUGGCAAUAGUCUUUGUGACUUUGGUGCAGUGACAUUACGAAAGGAUAGUUGCAUAGAAUGUUAGAAUCUAGCAUAUUCUAUAAGUAGCAAGAAUUUGAUAUUCUUUGACUUAUGAAAAACGGAUUUGGAGUUGUGAAAUGAGAAGGAUUGGAAAUGUGUUCAAUGUGAUCUAUUUCACAAAGUAAGAACCAUAGGUAAACAUUGUGUGCAUGCUAGGAGCAUGGGACAAGUGUUGGAAUUCAAGUAAGAAGUUGAUUACCCGAAACGACAAAUAAUGAGUAAUCAAUAUGGUGAUAAAUAAAAGGUGUUUUAUUUAUACUCAAAGGUUUGAGGCCAUAUGGGAUUAGUAUUAUUCUUGUGUUUCACAUUUGCAUGUUUUGACUUCCAGAAUAAUUGAGUUUAUUAAGAAUAAUCG